GCUGGGUGGAUCCCUUGUCAUAGUGGAUGCUGCAAGUGUUGUAUGAACAAAUGCGAUGAAAAAACCUGCGCCAAUGGCAGAGGAUAUUGUUCUCCCGACGGAAAAUGCAAAACCGGAUAUUACCCCAGUACAAGUGAAUUCUGCAGAGGCUUCGGUUGUACUUGUUGUGUCCCUUGUGGUGAUAGUAAAAUUUGCGCCGCGAAUACAGGAUUCUGUGAGUGGAACCAAAGGAGGUGUCCUACAGGAUACCUAUCUACGAGCAGCCUGUGCUGUCCUGACCGCAAUUGUAGAUGCUGCUACAAAGGGAGACUCCCCGCUACACCAUUUGAUUGUGCUGCUGCUUAACUAAUAAGAAGAGACACGAACGAACAACAGCACCAACAACGGCGGCGAAACAACAGGAAAUGAGUCAAAGGAAAAGAAGCUACAUUGCCAUGAAUUCGUUUUACUGUCACGUUUUUCUCAUUGGCACAUUGAAUCC